CAUACCUCUACAAGUCUAUGUGAAUAUAUGUGUGUGUGUUUUAUAGUAGGUGUGAACAGGUUUAGUUACAAUCAAAACAAUGUACAAGACACAUCUUGUGGAUAAGCUGGGAUGCAUCAUCAGUGAUGUGACCUUCAGGCAUUAGGUGAUGCAGGUAUUUAACUGACAGCCAUUCUCACCCACAUCACCCAACCAGGACUGACCAGGCCUUGACUCACAUCCUAGCAACAACCUAAGGAUCACUCCUUCUAUUUCAAAGCUCCUUAGUGGCUUUCACUAGUAUCUUACUUCCACAGUGAAUUAACUCACUUCUUUGUCUUAACUCUAAAGCUAAUUUGGCUGAGGAAUUGUUGUGUAAGAAACUUGCUUCCCAACCACAUGGUUCUAGGUUCAGCCCUAUGGCAUGGCAUACAGACACGUCACCCCUAAAGUAGUUCUUGGGGAGAUUCAGUGUGACACAGAAGUGUGACAAGGCUGGCCCUUUGAAAUACAGGUACAACAGAAACAGGAAGAAAGAGUGAGAGAAAGUUGUAGUGAAAGAGUACAGCGGAGUUCGCCUCCACCCCUGCCAGAGUCUCAUGGAGCUGUAGGUGUUUUCACUCAAUGAACACUCACAAUGCCUGGUCUGGAGAUCGAAACUUUGAUCCUAUGACGGUGAGUCUGCCACCCUAACCAAUGGCCCAUUGUGCCUCCACACACACAUAUAUAUGUGUAUGUAUGUAUUUAUGUCUGUGUUUGCAUUUGUGCUCCUCACCAAGCCAUUGCUU